AUUGAACGCUGGCGGCAGGCCUAACACAUGCAAGUCGAGCGGUAGCACAGAGAGCUUGCUCUCGGGUGACGAGCGGCGGACGGGUGAGUAAUGUCUGGGAAACUGCCUGAUGGAGGGGGAUAACUACUGGAAACGGUAGCUAAUACCGCAUAACGUCGCAAGACCAAAGUGGGGGACCUUCGGGCCUCAUGCCAUCAGAUGUGCCCAGAUGGGAUUAGCUAGUAGGUGGGGUAACGGCUCACCUAGGCGACGAUCCCUAGCUGGUCUGAGAGGAUGACCAGCCCCACUGGAACUGAGACACGGUCCAGACUCCUACGGGAGGCAGCAGUGGGGAAUAUUGCACAAUGGGCGCAAGCCUGAUGCAGCCAUGCCGCGUGUGCGAAGAAGGCCUUCGGGUUGUAAAGCACUUUCAGCGGGGAGGAAGGCGAUAAGGUUAAUAACCUUGUCGAUUGACGUUACCCGCAGGAGAAGCACCGGCUAACUCCGUGCCAGCAGCCGCCGUAAAAC
rnacentral:rRNA from 1 species